UACGGGGGGGGUAAGCGUUGUUCGGAAUUACUGGGCGUAAAGGGCUCGUAGGCGGUCUGUUGCGUCAGGAGUGAAAACUCGGGGCUUAACCCCGAGCCUGCUUCUGAUACGGGCAGACUAGAGGUAUGCAGGGGAGAACGGAAUUCCUGGUGUAGCGGUGAAAUGCGCAGAUAUCAGGAGGAACACCGGUGGCGAAGGCGGUUCUCUGGGCAUUACCUGACGCUGAGGAGCGAAAGUGUGGGGAGCGAACAGG
rnacentral:rRNA from 1 species